AGUGAACGCUGGCGGUAGGCCUAACACAUGCAAGUCGAACGGCAGCACAGUAAGAGCUUGCUCUUACGGGUGGCGAGUGGCGGACGGGUGAGGAAUACAUCGGAAUCUACUUUUUCGUGGGGGAUAACGUAGGGAAACUUACUCUAAUACCGCAUACGACCUACGGGUGAAAGCAGUGGAUCUUCGGACCUUGCGCGAUUGAAUGAGCCGAUGUCGGAUUAGCUAGUUGGCGGGGUAAAGGCCCACCAAGGCGACGAUCCGUAGCUGGUCUGAGAGGAUGAUCAGCCACACUGGAACUGAGACACGGUCCAGACUACUACGGGAGGCAGCAGUGGGGAAUAUUGGACAAUGGGCGCAAACCUGAUCCAGCCAUACCGCGUGGGUGAAGAAGGCCUUCGGGUUGUAAAGCCCUUUUGUUGGGAAAGAAAAGCAGCAGGUUAAUACCCCGCUGUUCUGACGGUACCCAAAGAAUAAGCACCGGCUAACUUCGUG
rnacentral:rRNA from 1 species